CUGUUCUCAUUAUUAAUCUGCACUAACCAGUUUCAAUCAAUUCCCAACAGUGAAUUGCUAUCUAAAGGCUCAUGAUGACCCUGUUCAACUUGCAAAUCAGGUAUGUUUAAGUUCCCGACAGUAACAAACUCUGCUAACAAUUCAAUUCCAUAGUUUGGGUAAGUUAAUAUCCAUCUUAAUGAAGCUGAACAAGUACUGAAUUAAGAAAUCUAAAAACCCAACUUUCUUUUUGAGCCAUGAGAGAGCGAUAAGGACAAGAUUUACCCUCUCACUGAAAUAACUAAAAAACCAUAAAAAAUGCAUGAAAGCAUAAUUUUCAGAUUUCAGACAACAGGCAGUUCAGGACAGUAUCCUGCAGAGAAAGGAAACAUACAAAGUGAACCUACUAUUCCCUGCUUUCUGACUGGAGACCAGAAGAAAUAGAAGAAAUAGAAUGCAGAAGAUAGGAGAUUUAAAGAUCUGCAGAGCUCCUCUCACAUCUUCAGGACCCAGGCUGAAAGACCUGCAGGCUCAUGCAAGAGGGCAGAAACACAAGAGGACUGGUAGGAAGUACAAUGUCUCUAAGAGCCUCUCAUAUGCCAAUGCUAGUCACAUGGCCAAGCCAAAAUCAGUGGGACAAGAAGCAUAUCCACCUACAGAGAAAGAGGGAACGAAUACUUGUGAACAAUUAUAUCAUUUACUACUAAAAAGACAGGACAACUCAAUUUGUACUAACCAUGUCACAAAGGCUCAAUAG
rnacentral:lncRNA from 1 species